AGCCGGUAUAAGUGUGCUUUCAGC
rnacentral:siRNA from 1 species